ensembl:lncRNA
UUCUUUUAGGAAUUGCUUCCCCUGCCCCUCACAUCAACUACAACCAUGGAAUUUGAGCGAGGGCUACCAGUCACAUUGGAGAGGUGGGACAGGACCCAAAGCUUUCCAUUUAGAAGCUUCUUAGCAAUUUUUUAAAAUUGAAGUUGGAAAAACUCUUUUCCUCUUCAAAAAAGCAUUGUAAUAUAGUAACAAAGACAUAUUGUUCAUUACCUGAUUCCUCUGCCAUAAGGUAGACUUCUGUGUUUGUUUAGAGCUGUAUGCCCAGCAUCGAGAACUGUGCAAGGCACAGAAGAUUCUCCACAAAUAUUUGUUAAAUGAGUAAACAAAUGCUGGGAAUGUAUGAACUAAGGACUGACAAUAGCCAUGAAACCUGCCAUGUCAAAGAAACCAGUAGAGACCACACAGAAAGAAGCAAAGAAGACAAGGGGUCCUGUGAGUGAUUUAUUCUCCUGAGAAGAUCUGGAGGAGUUACAGCUUAUUGGAAAGGAAGGCAAAAAUAGGGAUGCUCUUCCAAAUACCAAAAUGAGCAAGAGGAAUUGGACUAGAUUUUAACUAAACAUGAAGACUGAACUUUCCUUCUAGAUCUCAGUGAUGCUGGAAGUGGCCCUCCUGUCUUGUGGCACGCAGCAGCCUCAGGACCUGUUAAACUAUCACUGGAAAGGGGAGGAGGAGAGAAAGCUCCCAGAAAGGGAAGGCAGCUCCCCGCUUCAGGCACAUAAUGCCAAUCAGAACAUGACAUUGUAAUACAUCAAACACGUUUCCAGAAGAAAAGAACUUGUGAAUUUAACAGCAGUUGGGUGUGGGAAGUCCAUCAGCAUUUUCAAAUAAUCAUGUCCAUAAUCAACUAAAAAGGCUAUCUUCAGUUAACAAGAGUUAGUCCUUCAUAUAUGGACUAUUAACAAGACACUAAUGCAAGACUUACUAAUCAGACUUCCCUACUAGACACUACCUUGCAUUUAUUGUUGAGAUGUGACACAUGAUGUUAAUUACAAAAUAAAUGACAUUCAGCCAGAAUCUAAAUAUCUAGGAAUCUAAAAUAACCAGAUCUUAUCUCCCACCCCUAUAGUCUCGUACGAUGAUAAUGAUGCCAACCCAGAAAACCCUGACAUUUUCUGUUUCUAAGGUUUCUCUGAAUCACCAUAAAGAUUUACUUAUGCUCUUGUGAAAUGCAUGUGCAUUGUUUUUACAGUAAGCCAAUUCUUCAAAAAUUGGUAAUCUGAAAUAUGAGACUUCCCAAAGCAGCCUUAGCAAGAAAAUUGCCGCAUUUGCUUCUUAACAGUCCUACCAGAUUACCCCCAAAUUUGGUGAGAUUUCCACUCUUUAGACUUGGGUGGUGAGGAGCAUAGUUAAACAGAUGUGGGCACGAAUCCUCUUCACUUCAACCCGUAAUCUUGGGCACGUUCAUUAACUCUCUGUGCUCAGUUUCCUCAACUGAAAAUCGAGAAAAACAAUACCUAUACCAUGAGGGUAUUCGUGUGGGGACUAAAUGAGAUAAUGUAUAAUAAUGACAUACUGUCCAGUAAUCCUUUAAUAAAUAGGGACUGCUAAUAUCUUCUUUAACUCAAUCACCUGUUUAGAGGGUGAGCAAUGACAGUGAGGCAUAUAAAAAUACACACAACUCUGAGGGAACCCUCUGCACUGGAGAGAAACUACAACCACGCAUGACACACUGACACCAAUCUUAAACCAUUUAUAGGAAAGGGCUAAGUGACCAGCAUACAAUAUUGGUUUAGAAAUUGAGAGACGUUGCAAACACAAAUGGCAGAGCAUUCUUAGUCCUCCAUUCUCACCUGAUCCCAAUAAUGAAGAGCACAGCUGGGAUGGAAGGAGACCAAGCUCCCUACCUUCCUGCCCAGCGCUCUUUACAACCUGCGAGCUGCACGCUGAGGCAUCACAGCCAGGCCGCGGAUGGUGGAUACAAUUAUCUCCCAGCCCUUUGAAGUUCGGCCAGAAAUAUUUGUUGUCAAUAUCACAUGUGAUUAGGACAGUAAUGUCCUCCUGCAAAAGACAGAACCCUUUGUCCACCACCCUCCUUCUGCCACUGCCAGAGAGCAGGAAGUGGGUGAGGGGCCGGCGCCUCUCUCCUCUUGGUCCAAUUUCACACAUUGGUUUUUCAGCAUUAAUAAAUUGGUUACAUUUGCCCUGCAUUUGGCAGCGAGGUUUCUAAUAACACUCUGAUCCCUUCAGAGAACAUGAAUCACUGGCAUGUGGGGGCUCUGGUUACCUCCCCCGACUGUCUGCUGCUAAAGGUCCCACACAUUAGCAAGGGUCAGGCACUCACCCGGGCCAGGGCAAAGUCUAAGACAAGGGCCAUGGCUUCGAGGCACUGCCACGGAGCUCAAAGAUUUUCCCUCAGAGGGAGAACAGAAAACUUUGAGCCCAGGCAAUGUGCAGCUUUCUUCAGCUGUCAAUCCUACCUGGUUUGCAUAUAGAUUAAGAAAACGUGUGAGAUUUUACCACAAGAAUCAGUCCAGAGAAUUCAAGGAGGGUGGUGGUGGGUGGAGAGAGGAUGGGAGGGAAAAAAAUGUGUGAUGCAGAUGUCUGAGAGUUAUGUG